GCCCGGUUAGCUCAAUCGGUAGAGCGUGAGACUCUUAAUCUCAAGGUUGCGGGUUCGA
rfam:Thielaviopsis punctulata NODE_2253, whole genome shotgun sequence.